rnacentral:rRNA from 1 species
GACGAACGCUGACGGCGUGCCUAAUACAUGCAAGUAGGACGCAGUUGCGAACGGGUGAGUAACGCGUAGGUAACUACCUAUUAGAGGGGGAUAACUAUUGGAAACGAUAGCUAAUACCGCAUACUAAUAGAUGGACCUGCGUUGUAUUAGCUAGUAGGUAGGGUAAUGGCCUACCUAGGCAACGAUACAUAUCCGAACUGUGAGGGGGAUCGGGCUAACUGGUACGUAGAAACGGUCGAGACUCCUACGAGAGGCAGCAGUAGGGAAUCUGGGGGAAUGGGGGGAACCGUGACAGAGCAACGCCGCGUGAGUGAAGAAGGUUUUCGGAUCGUAGAGCUCUGUUGUGAAGGAAGCGGUACUUAACCAGAAAGGGACGGCUAACUACGUGCCAGCCGCCGCGGUAAUUC